rnacentral:rRNA from 1 species
AUUGAACGCUGGCGGCAGGCCUAACACAUGCAAGUCGAACGGCAGCACAGAAGAGCUUGCUCUUUGGGUGGCGAGUGGCGGACGGGUGAGUAAUGUCUGGGAAACUGCCCGAUGGAGGGGGAUAACUACUGGAAACGGUAGCUAAUACCGCAUAACGUCGCGAGACCAAAGUGGGGGACCUUCGGGCCUCACACCAUCGGAUGUGCCCAGAUGGGAUUAGCUAGUAGGUGGGGUAAUGGCUCACCUAGGCGACGAUCCCUAGCUGGUCUGAGAGGAGGACCAGCCACACUGGAACUGAGCCACGGUCCAGAGUCCUACGGGAGGCAGCAGUGGGGAAUAUUGCACAAUGGGCGCAAGCCUGAUGCAGCCAUGCCGCGUGUAUGAAGAAGGCCUUCGGGUUGUAAAGUACUUUCAGCGGGGAGGAAGGCGGUGAGGUUAAUAACCUCGCCGAUUGACGUUACCCGCAGAAGAAGCACCGGCUAACUCCGUGCCAGCCGCCGCGGUAA